GACGAACGCUGGCGGCGUGCUUAACACAUGCAAGUCGAACGGAAAGGUCCCGCCUUUGUGGGGUGCUCGAGUGGCGAACGGGUGAGUAACACGUGAGUAACCUGCCCUUGACUGUGGGAUAACUUCAGGUAACUGGGGUUAAUCCCGGAUAGGUGCCUCUGCUGCAUGGCGUGGGUUGUAAAGUGUCGGCGGUUGGGGAUGGACCCGCGUCUUAUCAGCUUGUUGGUGGGGUAGUGGCUUACCAAGGCUUUGACGGGUAGCCGGCCUGAGAGGGUGACCGGCCACAUUGGAACUGAGAUACGGCCCAGACUCCUACGGGAGGCAGCAGUGGGGAAUAUUGCACGAUGGGCGGACGCCUGAUGCAGCAACGCCGCGUGCGGGAUGACGGCCUUCGGGUUGUAAGCCGCUUUCGCCUAGGACGGAGCGUGAGUGACGGUAAUGGGUGAAGAAGCACCGGCUAACUACGUG
rnacentral:rRNA from 1 species